UAUAUGGUAUUUUUGGUAUGAGGCAUAGUGAUAUUGCCUUCUCUCUCUCCCUACUCUAAUAAGGUUUUUGAUAACUGGAGCUCAUAGGUGGGAGACAGCUAAUACAUACUUACAGGAGAGUAGGGCGGGCGCCCUGCCUCCGAGCCCGAUUGCCUUCCCGUUCGGUCCCGUGGCUUCUGGAGUCUUCUAGAUGAUAGAAAAUUGUGCGGCAUGUUAAUAUCUCUAUGUAAACCUGACGUGUGGGCUUUUCUUCCGUAUUUCCUGAUAACCCCCUGCAGAAAUAGACAAACACCAAAACUUGUGGAAUUCUGUCAGAUAAAACCCUAAGUCUAGGUGUUGGUUGCAUUUGGAUCCUUUUCCAUGAUUAGUUGAUGGUUAAAUAUGAGCAUUAAGGACCGUCAACAAGCUCCCCCAAGCUUAACCUUUGCUCGUCCCUGAGCAAAGAUGGACUCAAGAGUUUCUACAGUGGUUUCAUACCUUAAAGAUACAUAUGCGUUCAAACAAGAUCUCAUCUUUGGGUUAGGGUAAACUGUUAAGAUUUAAAUUUACUCAUAUUACCUUCCACCAUGGGGCUUGCAACCGUCACUUGUGUCUUGAGUAGUUAAAAGAUAGAACGGUCUAAUCAAGCGCCAUGUCUCAUGUUCUUGAUCAACUAUAGCUCUAGAGUUUUUGCAGAUUUUUAAAUAAAACUCAGAGAUUCCUUGUAUGACUUUCUCUAGUCUCUCUUUUGUGGUAUUUCUGGAUCCUUACCAAGGCAGUGAUGGUAUACGCCUUCUCUCAAAAUCUGUAGUAUUUAUGGUAUAAAGCAUAGUGGCAUUGCCUUUUCUCUCACCCUACUCUAAUAAGGCUUUAAUAUCUGGAGCUCAUAGGUGGGAGAUAAAGUAUACAUACUUACAAGACAUGUAUUGUAUAGUCAAACCAUGGAUCCAAAGAAACAAAUCAAUAAGUCAAAUCAAGAUGUGCCUGUGUGGCGAAUGAAUGGUGUAUGGUGAUGAUGGUGAUAACAAUGGUGAAAGUCUAAUUCUACAUGUGCUCUUUUGAGGGGAUACAUACCUUUCUUGCUCUUUUGAAACUUUCAGGGAGAAUGAGAUGCUCUAUAUUUUCUUUUUCUUUUCUCUCAAACGGGUAUCUUGUACCCCUAAUUCUACUGUCGGACACUUGUCCAUUUUUACCUCUCGUCUCACUUUUUUCUUUUCUUUCGAGGUUCCGGGCACUUGCCCCUUUUUAUUUCCUCGUAUCUUUCUUUUUUUUUCUUUUUUUAGAGCACUCAUCUCUUGAAAUAAUGUAGCACGUGGUAGUAACAAGAUAACUUGAGCAUUUAUUUCACAAGGGAAAACAGAAAUGUUUUUGGCUAUUCUAUCCCUGAUUAGGAGUAAAAUAUUUUUGGGUGGUUCCGGAGAUGGAAAUGGAUGGAUAUAUGUGGAUGCGUACUUCCGGAGUAGAAGCAGCAUGUAUGAGUGAACGUGCAAGUGAAUCUUGAUUUUAACCACAUGACAAGCUCCUAAGGGUCUACACAGCUUGACCACACUCAAUGCUCAUAAGCAGUAAAAAGUAAAUGUGUGGCUCAAAGUCUAGGAAGCAUGUAUAUCUGGCUGUGGUAGGAAUUUAAACUCUCAUCAUACAGGAACUCAUCAUGCAACAUUUUAAAGAUUUUCAAAGAUAAAAUUCUCUAGAAUUCUAGCAUCUCUAGGAACAGAUAAACAGCACUCAACCUUCCCAUAUCAUAUCCGUUAACGACUUAGACUUCAGAUCAAGUACUCUUCCCACAAGUUUAGGUUUAGAGCAAAUCUUAAUUAAUAACAGUCAUGCCUAAACUUGAGAGAGAUUUCAAUUUUAAGAACUAGUCAUGGCAGAGCAACUAUUCAUCAUUUCCAUGUGAGAGCUUAUCAUGAGGGUUCAAAGCAAACUUUAUUUAUUUAUUUAUUUAGCAAACUAAGCAAAGAUAUAUAUAAGCACAAAAUCUUUAUUUGGGUUCUUAUGAUUAUGCAUUAUUUUAUUAUCAGAGUAAAGUAUAAACGUGAGUAGAAUACUUAGCUGGAUAAAUGGGGGUGCUCUCCCCCAAGCUAGAUUUUGACGUAAUUUCUUCUCAUGUAGCUAGCAGGUGGUGGAGGUGUAUUUGAAUGUCUGCAGCACCUUGGCAGCGAUUAGGAUGUCCUCCGUCAGCUGGUCUUCUUUGAUCCUUGAAUUCUGUGGAGCUCAAAUAGACAACAAAGCUUUGUGGAACUAGUUAAGUGUUAGCAUAAAUAUCUAGCCUUUAUUAUGUUGAGCCUCCUCAAUAAAUGUUACUCUCUUUAGUAGGAUCAUAAAUUUAUUUUUAUAAUUUUAUUUUUAUAGGAUAGGAAUAUAUUUAUUUCAUAUUUUAUGCCACCACAGUGAAUGUACUUAUGGGUUUUAUGCCAUGAGCAUACUCACAUGGGGCUUACUAUUUUUUAACAUUUUUAUUUUCUUUUCAAGAUGAUAUGAACCUGAUUAACUAAGCAAACUAUUUUAAAUAAUUGAAAGGAGAAAGAUAACUACCAAGUUUACCUCUUGGCAAGGCGUUCGGUGUUUUUAAGUCCUCCGAACGGGACUCUCCGUUUCUUGAGUCAUUUUGGGAUUCGCUGGAUGGCGUAAUCGGUGGUUCCGACGGUGCUUCCUCUUCGUGUAUAACUAUCUUCUCUUUCCACACCUGACUCAGUGCUACGGUCUCCUCAGGAUAGUUCUGUUCAAGUUGUAUGUCUUCAGACCUUACAACUUCUCCUUCAUAGUCUACCCAUCCGUCCUUGAUGAUUUGCCUCCUCUGGUUGUGGUUGCGUCGUCGUCUUCUUGUCCUGACCUGCUUAGAGUCUUCAACUAUAUAGUUAGGGUCAGUAAAACAGUGGCGUACCUUCUCUGAGGGGAAGUGUAUGUGGACUUCUCUAGUUCCAAUGUAUAUGAUUGCUUUAAUGGUGCUAAAGAACGGUCUUCCAAGGAUGAUGGGUGGAUCGUACUCGUCUUCUGCCAUGUCAAUAACCUUCAAUCUUUCAGAAUGUCUGAUCUGCCAUCUGGAGCUGAAUGUAUGUUGGUUGUAGGGACAUGGUUCCAUGCAGGAGCUGAUAAGUGACUGCGGCCAUUAUGUUGAUGUUAGAUCUGGUGUCGUAGAGUGUCUUCUGAAAAGAAUAUCCGUUGAUUGUGGACUCGAUGCUUGGGACACCAGGGUCGUCCUUCUUGAUCAAGAAAGGUGACUUGAGUUGACGAUCUUGACCUCCUUGAGCUGCAGUGACCAUCUUAGCUGACUCGGUACACAUUUGCUUGUUCUUGUUCCUCCUGUUGGUCCUCUUCCUUGGUUCAUGUCGGGAUUGCUCUGGGAUUUGUGUAGUCUUGUUUCUUGAAGGAAAACGUCUCCUUCUUCCCCUUGAUGUAGAAACUGAUCUUGGCAGCACUAGCGUAGAU
rnacentral:lncRNA from 1 species